AUGUGCAUACCAAAGAGCAGAGGAGGAAUGGGAUUCAGAGACAUUCACUGUUUCAACUUUGCAUUGCUGGCAAAACAAGCACGACGACUUACUGAAGAUCCCAAAUCCCUCUGUGCAAAGAUUCUUAAAGCAAAAUAUUAUCCUACUGAUGAGCUUAUGAAUGGUAGGUUGAAAAAGAAGGCCUCUUAUACAUGGCAAAGUAUAAUGGCAGGUGUGGAGACUUUGAAACAUGCACAUUUGGAGGGUGGGAUAUCGUCAAAAAAUUAA
rnacentral:rRNA from 1 species